rnacentral:rRNA from 1 species
UAGGGAAUCUUCCACAAUGGACGAAAGUCUGUUGGAGCAACGCCGCGUGAGUGAAGAAGGGUUUCGGCUCGUAAAACUCUGUUGUUAAAGAAGAACAUAUCUGAGAGUAACUGUUCAGGUAUUGACGGUAUUUAACCAGAAAGCCACGGCUAACUACGUGCCAA